rfam:Triticum aestivum genome assembly, contig: Triticum_aestivum_CS42_TGACv1_scaffold_321097_4BL
UUAGUACUCCCUCCGUCCUAAAAUUUUUGUCUUAGAUUUGCCUAGAUACAAAUGUAUCUAAUACUAAAACAUGACUUGAUACAUCUAUAUUUAGACAAAUCCAAGAGAAGAAUUUUGGGACGGAGGGAGUACUUU